UGCUAAUACCGGAUAACAACAGAUGAUGCCUAUCAACUGUUUAAAAGAAUGGUUCUGCUAUCACUCUUGGAUGGACCUGCGGUGCAUUAGCUAGUUGGUAGGGUAACGGCCUACCAAGGCGAUGAUGCAUAGCCGAGUUGAGAGACUGAUCGGCCACAUUGGGACUGAGACACGGCCCAAACUCCUCGGGAGGCAGCAGAC
rnacentral:rRNA from 1 species